UACGUAGGGUGCGAGCGUUAAUCGGAAUUACUGGGCGUAAAGCGUGCGCAGGCGGUUUUGUAAGCCAGAUGUGAAAUCCCCGGGCUUAACCUGGGAAUGGCAUUUGGGACUGCAAGGCUUGAGUGCGGCAGAGGAGACUGGAAUUCCUGGUGUAGCAGUGAAAUGCGUAGAUAUCAGGAGGAACACCGAUGGCGAAGGCAGGUCUCUGGGCUACACGUGACGCUCAUGCACGAAAGCGUGGGGAGCAAACAGG
rnacentral:rRNA from 1 species